ensembl:lncRNA
CCUGUCCUUCUGCUUUGUCUCAGUGUCCCUUGGCAGAUGGCCUGAUGCUUGGGGCUGGCCCAAGGACACCUCAGGAAGGUUUGGGUCCCACUCUACAAUGGUCUGAUUAUACAGAGGGACAUCUAUCUGCCUUCUGGAGAUGGACAGGGGCCUUAAGACUUCGGUUGAGAACAGGAUGCUCUGUCUCUUACUGUCUGGGGCAGGGAUGGCCUCCAGCUGCAGGAAGUACAGCAGCACCUGGACCUUCCAGAAAGAGUGGGAAAGAGGAGAGAGGCUCAGAGGGUGCUCACAGCUGGUGAUCUUUAGCCCCAAGUCCAGCUGAGGUGCUGGGUCCUCUGCUGCUGCCAUGAAACCUUUACAGUGAGAUGGGAGGUGGGGGUGUGGAUGAGGACAAGGCAUGACUUGGGGGGGUUAUUUUAGAGGUGCACAGGGCCUUGCUGUGUCACCCAGGCUGGAGUACAGUGGCUCCAUCAUGGAGCACUGCAGCCUCUAACAGCUAGGCUCAAGGCAUCCUCCCGUAUCAGCCUCCCCAGUACCUAGGACUGCAGGUGUGUGCCACAAUGCCUGACUAAUUUUUCCUUUCCUCUUUUCUAGAGAUGGGGUUUGCUGCAUUGUCCAGACUGGUCUCAAAUACCUGGGUUCAGUUAUCCUGCUGUGGUCUUUCAAAGUGCUGGGACUACAGGCAUGAGCCUCCACACCCAAACACUUGGGGUGGUUUUAAGCCCCGAGUAAGGUGCACCAGCAGGACCAAGAGGUGGCCUGGGCCUCCCCAACACUCUCAUCCAUGCAGGCCUAGGACCAAAGCAGAGGGUGCUAUUUCUAUGCCACCACCAGGAAAGAGGCAGAGGGGCUGGGCCAUGCUGGAGUCCUCUGGGAGGGAGCGACCUCGACCCUGGCUGUGCUGCAAGCUGAUUCCAGCCCUGGGGUCAGCAGCACCUGGAGAACAGCAGCAGGAGACGGCGUGAGAGCAGUGGCUCAUGGGCAGAGCUGCCAGUGGGAAACUGCAGCUGCCACCCCCUCCCAAGGGCAGCCCAGAGUAGUGGAGGCUCAGCAUAAAACUAAAAAGGGGAGUGAGGGACACAAGGAGGUGGGAGAUGGGUGGCUCCAGCCCCACAAACUAAGCAGAGACCCUCUCUUCACCCUAGACUCCGCAGGGGCACCUCAGGCUGGUCCUCUGGGCGUGGGCCCAGGAGGCAGGCCUGCCCUAAGGGUCAUGCAGAGGAUACAGGGCCACACACGCCAGUGCCCUGCUUAGACAUCAGCCUGCAGGUGGACUCGGGGUCAGGCCAGGUUUGAUCCUGUGCUUGACUGGGCCAGGACCCAUGGCUAGAGCACCUGGGGACCCUCGUUCAGCCCUGGUCUGCUGGAAGGGGGACAGCAGACUUUAGGACCCCACAGCACAGCAGUGAUGAGCAUUUUACUCUCUUGGUCUCCUUGAGGAAUAGGACAAGGAGUCCUCUGGGGACAGACGAGGACUUACACAACUGCCUCAGUUGUGGUCCCUGCUUUCUGAGCUUGGUUAAAACACUGGCCAUGGCAGAAAGGACACAGCUUGGGUUCUCACACCUCACUUUCCACAGCCCCUAACGGCAGCAGUGCACAUGGAGGAGAUGCCUCCUAUGACGCCAAGGCCUCCAGUGCUCACCAAUGCCUUCAUCCAAGUUGGGUAGAACUUGUCAGUGAAGAGGGGCUCAGGCAGCUCACGGAAGUAGAGCUUCAGCAUGUCUGCGAUGGCGUGUACAUCCAUCUCACUCAUCAUCAUCGACACAUCCCUGUUAUCUGGAAAGAACAUGGAAGUGCUGCAGCCUCCUUGAGGAUCCCAAGUAGGUCUCCCGCCAUCCCUGCCUUGGCAAAAGCACCGUCCCUGCCAUGCUGGCCACUGUGCGGGUCCGUCCCUGGCUUUGAGCAGCUCAUCUUCCUCCCCCCAAGAGCUGUGCAUGGUUCUGUGUCUGUGUAGAGAUGAUGGAGGGGUGUGUGCAUCUCCAUAUUUCUCCCCUGCUUGGCUCCAUCAUGGAUCACUGCAGCCUCUAACUGCUAGGCUGAAGCCAUCCUCCCGUGUCAGCCUCCCCAGUACCUAGGACUACAGGUGUGUGCCACAAUGCCCGACUAAUUUUUCCUUUUCUCUUUUCUAGAGAUGGAGUUUGCUGCAUUGUCCAGACUGAUCUUAAACACCUGGGUUCAGUUAUCCUGCCGCAAUCUCUCAAGGUGCUGGGACUACAGGCGUGAACCUCCACACCCAAACACUUGGGAUGGUUUUAAGCCCCCAGUAAGGUGCACCAGCAGGACCUCCCCAACACUCUCAUCCAUGCAGACCUAAUUUGUUUAUUGUUAUCUGAAAUUCAAAUUUAUUUAUGCAUCCUGUGUUGAUCUGGCAACCCUAUACUAUCUGUAACCCUGUAAUAGGCCCUCUCAGAGCACACUGAUAGGAGAUAUGUGUAUUAACCCAUGUAUAUACACAUAUCUACUAUUAAAUUUUUAUAUAUGUGUGGUUAAAUAUGAGUCAUACUUAUUUCUCUAACUCAAAUCCAGUAUCACAGGGUUCCUUCUAGCCUUCUGCCUUUGCUUAUCUAUAACUUCUCUCUCCAGCAUUGAAAAACCUGACCCCCACUAUCCACUCUUCAUUUACUUAUUUGCCCCUUCUUACUCAUGGUGCAUGUAAAGCUAUUUCAGAAUUGGUCACAGCCUCCCCACCCCCCCCCCCACCCCAAGCCCGAUGAGAAACAAACUUACAAGUUGCAACACAGUGCUGAGGUCCAGUUCCUUUGGCCUUUAGCCUUGCAAUUGUAAGUCAAAGCAGCACCUGCAAGGUUACUUUGGUUUGCUCCUUUUCCCAACCCCUCAGGGAUGUUAUGUGUACAGUGACACUCAUUCCUGAAAAUCUACAUUCCCCUCCAUCCUGGUUAUUUUUCUUCAUCUACAAAAUGUGAGAAUGUCAAUGUUUUAUUUGGUACAAGGAUAAGGAGGAAAACAGCAAAAUAAUUUUGAUAAUAAGAUUUACACUUUAUCACAAGUGAUUUUCCUAAAACACAACUUUCACAUUUGGCUGCGUGAAACAGAGAGAGAGAAAAAAGGGAACUUUCACUAGUUUUAAGUAGGCCAACUCAUAUGAUCCCUCCAAAUGAGUUUAAAUGAGAAUGAGUACUUUUUUCCUAGCUGGGAAAAUAUUUUCCUUAAUUGAGUUUAAAUAAUUUACCCAUAGUGAUGAAUAAGCCCUUGGGCUAGGCUCAGAAACCUCUUCUACCAGCCUGUUUCAUAAGAAUUAAAAAAAUAUUUAGGGGACAUACAUGAAAUAUAUAUAUAUAUAUAUUGGGUUGUAAUAGUAGAGACAAGAAUUUUUAAAAUCCGUACUAUUUCUCGUUCCGGUCUCUUUCUCCUAAAUGCACCUUCUGAGUUUCUUAGGUAUGCUUUACAAAGACUACUUUACUUAAUGGAUUAAUGUGUUCAUCAACUUUAGCACCCUAUGUGUGUGUUAAGAGUAAUGAGAACGGGCUAGUUAAACUGCUUCCUCAUAGCCUUGGCCUUCAUUACCAGUAGUAAAGUUGACAGAAAACAAUGAGGAAGAAGUACCAUAGCCCACAGGCACCUAGGAAUGGGGAAUUAAUUCAGACUGAGAAAAUAUGGCUCUGGAGAGACACCAAAGUCGUAUUGCAAAUUUAUGAAGUCGAAAUGAACCCUUUCGCCCCAGCUUCAGACUUAGAUAAGGUGUGAGAUGUCAGGGAUGUGCAUGGACCCUUCCAAAAAUGAUAUUUUCAUCCGUGUUCUUCCCCCUUCCCUCUCCUGCGAGACAAAAUAUACGGAAAUACAAGUGCUUGGUACUACAUGUUUUUGAGGCUUAAAAGCCCAAUAAUAAGCACGCUGCAUCCGUUGUUGAAGGGGAUCACUUUUUAAAUAAACAUCACCAGAAGAAUCUCUUCAAACGGAGAAUGAAGUCACUCUCCCUCCCCAGAGGCUAUGAGGGAAAAGGGAGACGGAUAUUUCCCCUACUUGCACGUGGGAUCUCCCUUUGUCUGCCUUGGGAGGUAGCUGAGAGAAAAGGCAAAGCUCAGUUCUCCAUGGCAAAGUCUUUGGUCUUCUCCUCCUGGUCUCCCACUUUGUAGCGCAGCAGCACGUGUAGGCGACGGGGGUUGUCCCGGGAGGGCAGUAGCGUGAUCUCUCCUGAUACGUCCGUGUCUUGCUCCACUUGCACCGGCUCGUUCAGGUAGAGGAGCUCCUGUUUCCAGUGUGUGGCGGGUGAAAGGCGAGGUGGACAGCACUAGGGGUUUCUCCGACUCCCCUCCAGGGAAGGUCACCUGUACCCAGAUGGCAAAGCCGUGCAUGGGCGCCGAGCCGUAGCAGCUGCAGCGGAAGCGCCCGCCCUCUCCGGCCUCCAGCUCCUGCUCCAGGCCAGCGCGGGAGAGCUCUAGCUGAGCAAAGCGCUGCGCCGGGCCAGCGCAUCAUCGCCGGACAGUCCCUGCACCACGAUCUCCGAGUGGCCCAUGAGGCAGCGCGUGGCGAAACCCUCCAGGCAGCUCAUGUCCACACCAUAGUGCUGCUUCACCUGGUUCCAGAAGCCCAGGCGCC